rnacentral:rRNA from 1 species
UGGGGAAUCUUGCACAAUGGGGGCAACCCUGAUGCAGCGACGCCGCGUGAGCGAUGAAGCCCUUCGGGGCGUAAAGCUCUUUCGACCGGAACGAUAAUGACGGUACCGGGAGAAGAAGCUGCGGCUAACUACGUGCCAGCAGCCGCGGUAAUACGUAGGCAGCAAGCGUUGUUCGGAGUUACUGGGCGUAAAGAGCGCGUAGGCGGUUUUCUAAGUUCGGUGUGAAAUCUCCCGGCUUAACUGGGAGGGUGCGCCGAAGACUGGGAAGCUGGAGUGUGGGAAAGGCAGGCGGAAUUCCUGGUGUAGCGGUGAAAUGCGUAGAUAUCAGGAGGAACACCGGCGGUGUAGACGGCUUGCUAGACCAUAACUGACGCUCAUGCACGAAAGCGUGGGGAGCAAACA